rnacentral:lncRNA from 1 species
UUGGGGAAGAAGUACAUAAUAAACAAAAGAGCCUCCCCUGGGCAAUGGAUGGAUAUACGUGAGAUGUCCAAGGUCAAUGGCAGUGACUGACCUUGACCAUGAUGAUGGCGCACAGAGGCUGUGAAGUCAGAAGCGUUUGGAGUCCUGCGGUCUCCACGUGGGCCAGCUGUGCUUGGGCAAUUCCGGUCAAGCCAGAUGCCAAAACCCAUUGCAGACACAGGAAGAGCCUCAUCGUCAAGUCUCCAAACAAGCAGUCGAAAAUCAAAAGAGAAGAUCUCAUAAACUACAAAUCAGGAUUGCCUUUGUCUUCAGAAUCAGUGAUGUCUGUACUCACGGGUUAGUUCUACUCCAUUUUCAGGGGCAUCUCUGUAUCAUUGCCCCCGAAAUGUAGAACUCAUCUUUGACCACAGUGAGAUGCUUCCCCAAACUUCCAGAUGCUGCAAUGAAUGGUAAGGCCAGAUGAAAGAGAAUCAGAUUUGUAUUCUGUUGAUAGAUACCCAGUGCAGGGCAUGGGGUGGGGGCCAGGCCUGUGAAAAAGAAUUCAGCUUCCUCAUUUCGUGGCAUUUAUUUGCUCAUUAUUGAAACUAACGAAACUGCCCAGGAGCCUUUUGGUUUUGCCUUUCUUUAGUGUGCCUUCUUUUCUAAAAACUGUCUCUUAUAAUCGCUUCAUGUUACGCUGGAAGGUCCAUACCGAUUUUCGCUGAGAAUCACAGAAAUUUUCUUUUCAUAUUAAAAAAAAUUAAAUGAAAGGUUUAUACUUUUAUAGUUCUUUAUACUUUUCAAAAGCUUCACACACAUGAUUUCAUAUACUCUCCUGUAUGAUUUCAUAUACCCCCAUAUUGCCCUCCCCCCCACCCCGACCCCCUGCUGGUAACCUCUAGUUUGUUCUUUGUGAGUCUGUUUCUUUUUUGUUUUAGUCACCAGUUUCUUGUAUUUUUGAGAUUCCACAUAGAAGUGAUAUCAUACAGAAUUUAUCUCUCUCUGUCUGACUUAUUUCACUUAGCACAGGGUAGAACCAUAGGCUUUUACAGUUAGCAGACACCUGCCUGGAGUUUCUGGAAGUUUCCAUGUACACCUGGGCAGACUUAUUCGGCUGGCUCUAGGUGCUGCGGUCUCAGGCCACAGCCAUGGGAAGUGGAAGUGGUCUCCAGAUGUUAAGGUCCCCCUGGCCUGGCUCACCUCCCCUCCCUUAGAGAGGGCGUCCUUCACUCUCCAGUGAUACGGAGGCCUUAGGGAAGCUGCUUCCUCAGGGUUCAGAUCGUCUCUGGAAAGGACUCACACCUGAGUCUUGUGUUGCUCAUGAGUCAAAAGCCAGUGACCAACACUCUGCUAUACUCAGCACUUUAAUGACAAGGACUAACUAUGGAGUCAGGUGGCCCCUCUGAGGCACCUGCUCCCCUUAGAAUGAGUUCUUUCCCAAGAGGUUCCUUUGUUCUUCAAGCAAAUCCACAUCCUCUAGGCCGCCUUCCCACAACCCCCCGCUGCCCCCACCCCGUGUACGAUUUAUGUCUAUAAUUGAAUCCAAGAUGCACCCCAGAUCUGUACUCUUUGCCAUGUAGAAAUAUCAUCAAUUUGGAGUUCCUGUUGUGGCACAGCGAAAACGAAUCUGACUAGGAACCAUGAGGUUUCAGGUUCCAUCCCUGGCCUCAAUCACUAGUGGGUUAAGGAUCCAGCAUUGCCAUGAGCUGUGGUGUAGGUUGCAGACAUGACUCGGAUCCUGCGUUGUGUGGCUGUUGUGUAGGCUGGCAGUUGUAGCUCCAAUUUGACCCCUAGCCCGGGAAACUAAAAGGCAACCUGUGGCCCUAAAAACCAAAAAAGAAAAAAAAAAAAAAAAAAAAA